UGUCUUCUCGCUCAGAGCUUUGUCCAA
rnacentral:piRNA from 1 species